rnacentral:rRNA from 1 species
GUAGGGAAUAUUGGGCAAUGGUCGGAAGACUGACCCAGCCAUGCCGCGUGCAGGAAGACGGCCCUCUGGGUUGUAAACUGCUUUUAUCUGGGAAGAAAAAGGCCAUGCGUGGCAAAUUGCCGGUACCAGAUGAAUAAGCACCGGCUAACUCCGUGCCAGCAGCCGCGGUAAUACGGAGGGUGCGAGCGCUGUCCGGAUUUAUUGGGUUUAAAGGGUGCGUAGGCGGCUGAUUAAGUCAGCGGUGAAAGACUUCGGCUUAACCGGAGCAGUGCCGUUGAUACUGGUUGGCUUGAGUGUCGGAGGGGUACAUGGAAUUGAUGGUGUAGCGGUGAAAUGCAUAGAUACCAUCAGGAACACCGAUAGCGAAGGCAUUGUACUGGCCGACAACUGACGCUGAUGCACGAAAGUGUGGGGAUCGAACAGGAUUAGAAACCCGGGUAGUCC